UACUUGGCGUGCGCGUGGAGGAAGGUUCAAUAUUUUUAUAACGAAUCGAAUACGAGAUGUCAGUUGGCUGCUCACACACUGUUGGCUGAUUGUUGGGUGUUAUUUGUAUGCUGAGUUCUGAGUGAUUGAUUCUGUCGAUUGCUGUGCCGUCGCUACUUUUGCUGCUUUAAUCGGCAAUACUCGUCCGUUUUCGCUUCUGUGAUUUAUGCUGCGCCAAUAAUGAAAAUGUUGCUCACUGCUUUAGUGAAUUUUUGGCAGUUUUUCAGGUGCUACAAUGGGAAAUUUUUUUUGAAAAAUAAAAAAAUGGCGGACUUUUGAAAAAAAGAUGUCUUGAAGAGCCAAAAUCCUGUUGACAAGCCACCUAUAUUUUUUUUAAGACCCUUACUUUGGUGCCACACUACUACAAAGAAAUAUGUCAAAAAAAAAAGAAUUGUUUUUGUAUACUAU